AGUUUUGCGCAGUGGCAGUAUCAUAGCCAGUGAGGUUUAUCCCAGGGGUGACUAUUGCUAGUUGAAAACUUUUCCCAAUACCCCUCUAUGACAACUUGAACUAUAGUCGGCAAU
ensembl:snRNA U4 U4 spliceosomal RNA